UACGGAGGGUGCGAGCGUUAAUCGGAAUUACUGGGCGUAAAGAGUGCGUAGGUGGUUAAUUAAGUUAUCUGUGAAAUCCCUGGGCUUAACCUGGGCAGGUCAGAUGAUACUGAUGGACUCGAGUAUAGGAGAGGGUAGUGGAAUUUCCGGUGUAGCGGUGAAAUGCGUAGAGAUCGGAAGGAACACCAGUGGCGAAGGCGGCUACCUGGCCUAAUACUGACACUGAGGCACGAAAGCGUGGGGAGCAAACAGG
rnacentral:rRNA from 1 species